CCGAAGGCUGAUGUCCACCUCCACCUUGUAAAGAUCCAUGAGUCCAUCCACCUAGUCCCUUUGCCAAACACUUUCUGGGGGACCAUGAAAAUGAAUCUGACCUGGGUCUUGACCCUGAGGAGCCCACUGUCUAACAGGAACCCCUCUGCUCACCAGCUCCCUCACCUUCACAUUUAUUCCUGGUGCCAGUGCACAGAGGAACACAAAUGAGCUGAUGGCACAGGGACUGAUGGACAGGACACGUUGGCUGACCCUGGGCUCACUGUCCAUCCCUCAUCCAGGUGCUCACCUCCUGGACUGACCGGGGAAGCUCCAGGCAGGGCCUGUGGUUACGAGGUGCCAGCUUCAGAAGGCUGCCACUCCCCAGUGCCCUUCUGAGGGGGAGAUGUGGGCUGCUCUGCUCCCCAUUGUGUAGUCACAGCUGUGCAGUCUAGGCCAGGCACCCAGGCCAAGAAGGACUAGUGUGCACAAAGCCACACACUGGUCAGGGAUGAUCUCUACUGAAGGGUGACUGACAUAGCCAAUCACACCUUCUAUCUCAGGAAGGUUGGACUGAAACUGUGCAGAGAAAGCCAGAGGUCAGGGGAGGGGACAGAGUGCAAUUCAAGGUCACAGUGAGCAGAAACCUUAGUGUCAGACCCAGAGACAUCGCUUACUUGGGUUCACCUCCUUGAUGACAUUCCUGUCCCCACAAGGCCUCUUCAGUGCGCUGCUUUCCUUCUUCCUGCAUUCUGACCACAAGCCCCAGUCACUGAAGAUAUCCUGGGUGAGCCUACAUUUUUGCAAUCUCAGGUACCUGGAAAACAACUCCUUUAUUUGUCUGCUCCUGCAUUCAGCCGUGCAUGCCUGCACUCAACACAUGCUCUGUGCAGGGCCCUGGAGACACAGGACCUAUAGAAAGGGUCCUCCUUCAGGAACAAACUGAGCAGCAGCCCCUGAUGGAGGUCCAUGGAGAAGAGUCUGGAUACAAUCCCCCAUGGGUAAUUCCACAGGGAGGACAAGGACACUGCACUCUGGCCACCCCACAUCCUGUUGUUGGAAGGUGUUGAGGGCCUAGAGACAUGGAGCAGAUGCAAAGUGUCCCAGGGCCCAGCCUGCUGCUCUGCUUGUCCAGAGGCCAAGUCAGACCUGUCAGAGGCAACUCCCUGCAGAUAGUGCCCUCUCUCUUCAUGCUUCUCUCUAAUGAGGAUGGAUGGUUUACUCUCUAGUUCAAG
rnacentral:lncRNA from 1 species